CCUACGGGCGGCUGCAGUGGGGAAUAUUGCACAAUGGGCGCAAGCCUGAUGCAGCCAUGCCGCGUGUGUGAAGAAGGCCUUCGGGUUGUAAAGCACUUUCAGCGGGGAGGAAGGCGGUGAGGUUAAUAACCUCAUCGAUUGACGUUACCCGCAGAAGAAGCACCGGCUAACUCCGUGCCAGCAGCCGCGGUAAUACGGAGGGUGCAAGCGUUAAUCGGAAUUACUGGGCGUAAAGCGCACGCAGGCGGUCUGUCAAGUCGGAUGUGAAAUCCCCGGGCUCAACCUGGGAACUGCAUUCGAAACUGGCAGGCUAGAGUCUUGUAGAGGGGGGUAGAAUUCCGGGUGUAGCGGUGAAAUGCGUAGAGAUCUGGAGGAAUACCGGUGGCGAAGGCGGCCCCCUGGACAAAGACUGACGCUCAGGUGCGAAAGCGUGGGGAGCAAACAGGAUUAGAUACCCUUGUAGUC
rnacentral:rRNA from 1 species